ensembl:lncRNA
AACAGAAGAAGAAGGUGCUGCAGUAGAGGAAGUUAGCAGAAUAGCGGUAGCAGAAAGCAUGGCUUGACUGCAUUUGUGCUAUGUCCUGGUUGGGAAAUGUUCCAUUUCAAGCUCAGCUUAAAAUGAUGCAACGGUACCUGCUCGGAUCUCUGACUGCCUGAAGGACAUCUCAGCAUGGAUGAAAGAACAUCACCUACUGCUUAAAGACUGAGCGUCUCAUCUUCCCAGCCACCCCAUCAGUACAGCAGCAGUUUACCAUCCAACUGGGCUCAUCAACAAUAAUACCAUCAUGUUCAGCCAGGAAUCUUGGAGUGACCCUUGAUGAUCAGUUGACAUUAAAAGAUCAUAUUGCUAAAACAACACAAUCAUGCAGGUCAAGUAACUGGAGAAGGGGGGACGCGGAUUCAGUAUGUAUUUAUCAAAGCAGCUGUAUUCAACUCUCUCCUCCGUAUUGUAUUGCUUUUUUGUCAUUUCUUUUGUAUCUGCAUUGCUGAUGUUUGGUGGUGGUCCGCAUUUCUCUGAGGGCAAAGCAAAGAUACUUCAUUAUUAUUGUGGUUGUUAUUAUUAAUUAUUAAUGUUAUUUUAUUUAUUUCUUUUUCAUUAUUAUUAUUUUAUUUUAUUUUUAGACUGUCAUCCCCAAGAAAUGUUGCACUGAUAAAUCUCAAUAUGGAUCGUCUGGGUAAAAACCCACAGUAUUAAAAAUCAAGCAUAUGUAAUCAUUUGAAGGGGGUUUCUUUUUUAAAAAAAAUUUCAACUUUCAAACUUGAACAUUGUUUGUAAACAUCUGUAAACAUCAUCUUUUUGUGUGUGUGUGUGUGUGUGUGUGUGUUAAAAUUAUUAACAAUUUGCCAAUUCUGCAAGGUGUAUGCAAACUUUUGACCACAAAUGUAUAUAAUAAUUUGACUGAAUUUAGAAAAAAAAAAAAAAAAAACAUUCUGGUUUUACAACAUUUAAUGAAAUAACAUACCAGUGCAUUGCUGAAUGCCUCUCCACUUGCCCUGGGAAUCACAGAUGAUUUGUACAGGCUCCUCUGGUUCAAAUCCAGAGCGACAUUUAUAUUGUAUUCUUGAAUUGAUUUUGUAAUUUGAAUUUUGACUUCCCACAAUCUCUGCAUUUGGGAAUUUUGGUAGGUCACACAUAAUUUCUAAAAAAAAAAACAGCAACAAACAAACAAACAAACAAAAAACAUCAACAUACUCAUUUACUUGAUAUUAUGUGAAUAACAAAGAUUGUAAUACACAACAGCAGAACACACCAGCACACAGUGGUUUUGGUGUCCAUCCGUCUUGUGUACACGUGGCCUCUGCUGCUGUUUUACGAUAUCCAGACGCACAACUGUAAGAUUGUUUUUCUCCUAAUUUCAUUGUUCCCCAGAAGUAUGGUCUAGACACAUGCUGGUCACGUGGAUAUUCACAUGUAAUCUCUGAA